rnacentral:rRNA from 1 species
GACGAACGCUGGCGGCGUGCCUAAUACAUGCAAGUAGAACGCUGAAGGAGGAGCUUGCUUCUCUGGAUGAGUUGCGAACGGGUGAGUAACGCGUAGGUAACCUGCCUGGUAGCGGGGGAUAACUAUUGGAAACGAUAGCUAAUACCGCAUAAUAGUAGAUGUUGCAUGACAUUUGCUUAAAAGGUGCACUUGCAUCACUACCAGAUGGACCUGCGUUGUAUUAGCUAGUUGGUGAGGUAACGGCUCACCAAGGCGACGAUACAUAGCCGACCUGAGAGGGGGAUCGGCCACACUGGGACUGAGACACGGCCCAGACUCCUACGGGAGGCAGCAGUAGGGAAUCUUCGGCAAUGGACGGAAGUCUGACCGAGCAACGCCGCGUGAGUGAAGAAGGUUGUCGGAUCGUAAAGCUCUGUUGUAAGAGAAGAACGAGUGUGAGAGUGGAAAGUUCACACUGUGACGGUAUCUUACCAGAAAGGGACGGCUAACUACGUG